GAUGAACGCUGGCGGCGUGCUUAACACAUGCAAGUCGAGCGGCAGCACGAGUAGUUUACUACUUGGUGGCGAGCGGCGGACGGCUGAGUAACGCGUGGGAACAUGCCCCAAAGUGAGGAAUAACUGCCCGAAAGGGUAGCUAAUGCCGCAUAUGAUCUUCGGAUUAAAGGAUUUUAUCCGCUUUGGGAGUGGCCCGCGUA
rnacentral:rRNA from 1 species